rnacentral:RNase_P_RNA from 1 species
GUAGCAGUUUUUUCUAUCGCUGUCAUUUUAUCAUGGCAGAGGAAAGUCGGGACAGCACAGAGCACCAUACUUCCUAACAGGAAGGUUCUGCCCUGGUGGAGCAGAAACAGCAAGUGCCACAGAAAAUUACCGUCCUGCAUUGCAGGAUAAGGGUGAAAACGUGAGGUAAGAGCUCACGCUGUAUUAUGGCGACAUAAUACAGGGGUAAACCUUAUGGGCUGAAAGACCAAAUAUAUCAGGGAACCUGUUUCGGCAGGUUAAGGGCUGCUCGUCCGAUCCUGAGGGGUAGGUCGUUAGAGCUUGCCGGCAACGACAAGCCCAGAUAAAUGAUAGAAAUUGCUACCGGGUUUUACCCUGAUGCAAUACAGAAUCCCGCUUAUAAAACUGCUUUCCAC